rnacentral:rRNA from 1 species
UACGUAGGGUGCGAGCGUUAAUCGGAAUUACUGGACGUAAAGCGUGCGCAGGCGGUUCGUUAUGUCCGAUGUGAAAGCCCCGAGCUUAACUUGGGAAUGGCAUUGGAAACUGGCGGGCUGGAGUGCGGCAGAGGGGGGUGGAAUUCCACGUGUAGCAGUGAAAUGCGUAGAGAUGUGGAGGAACACCGAUGGCGAAGGCAGCCCCCUGGGCCGACACUGACGCUCAGGCACGAAAGCGUGGGGAGCAAACAGG